rnacentral:rRNA from 1 species
UGUGUAGGCGGUGCUCUAAGUCUGUCGUGAAAUCUCCCGGCUUAACUGGGAGGGUGCGGCGGAGACUGGAGUGCUCGAGUGUGGGAGAGGUAAGCGGAAUUCCUGGUGUAGCGGUGAAAUGCGUAGAUAUCAGGAGGAACACCUGUGGUGUAGACAGCUUACUGGACCACGACUGACGCUGAGACACGAAAGCGUGGGUAGCAAACAGGAUUAGAUACCCUGGUAGUCCACGCCCUAAACGAUGCAUACUUGGUGUGAGCCAUUCAUUUGGUUCGUGCCGGAGCUAACGCGUUAAGUAUGCCGCCUGGGGAGUACGGUCGCAAGGCUGAA